rnacentral:rRNA from 1 species
GAUGAACGCUGGCGGCGUGCCUAAUACAUGCAAGUAGAGCGAACAGACGAGAGUGCUUGCACUCUCUGACGUUAGCGGCGGACGGGUGAGUAACACGUGGGUAACCUACCUAUAAGACUGGGAUAACUUCGGGAAACCGGAGCUAAUACCGGAUAAUAUUUAGCUUCGCAUGACGCAAUAGUGAAAGACGGUUCUGCUGUCACUUAUAGAUGGACCCGCGGUGUAUUAGCUAGUUGGUGAGGUAACGGCUCACCAAGGCAACGAUACAUAGCCGACCUGAGAGGGUGAUCGGCCACACUGGGACUGAGACACGGCCCAGACUCCUACGGGAGGCAGCAGUAGGGAAUCUUCCGCAAUGGACGAAAGUCUGACGGAGCAAUGCCGCGUGAGUGAAGAAGGUUUUCGGAUCGUAAAACUCUGUUGUAAGGGAAGAACAAGUACGUUAGUAACUGAACGUACCUUGACGGUACCUUACCAGAAAGCCACGGCUAACUACGUG